UACGGGGGGGGCAAGCGUUGUUCGGAAUUACUGGGCGUAAAGGGCUCGUAGGCGGCCAACUAAGUCAGACGUGAAAUCCCCAGGCUUAACCUGGGAACUGCAUCCGAUACUGGAUGGCUUGAAUCUGGGAGAGGGAUGCAGAAUUCCAGGUGUAGCGGUGAAAUGCGUAGAUAUCUGGAGGAAUACCGGUGGCGAAGGCGGCAUCCUGGACCGGCAUUGACGCUGAGGAGCGAAAGCUAGGGGAGCAAACGGG
rnacentral:rRNA from 1 species